AUUUAUAUAGUUUAUUUAAAUUUAAAACCUUCCAUUUUCAAUGGAAAAAUAAGAUACAAUCUUUAUAAAUA
rnacentral:tRNA from 1 species